rnacentral:tRNA from 2 species
CUGUGUGUAGGGAAGUCUGGUCAUCCCACUUCACUUGGAAUGAAGAGAUCGCAGGUUCAAAUCCUGCCACGCAGACCA